AAAGAAACUGUGGAGACUUCAGUUAGAAAGACUGGAAGACUUCUUAUUAGUCAUGAAGCUCCAGUGACUGGAGGUUUUGGUGCUGAAAUCUCUGCAUCUAUUGUUGAACGUUGCUUCUUAAGGUUAGAAGCUCCUGUUGCUAGAGUUUGCGGUCUGGAUACGCCCUUCCCUCUUGUUUUUGAGCCAUUCUAUAUGCCCACCAAGAACAAAAUAAUGGAUGCGAUCAAAUCAACUGUAAAUUACUAGAAUUUUAGUUCUCUGUUCUAACUGCUAUGUUUAACAUAUGCCAUCAUCCAGAAGCAAUUACAUGAAUUAAUGCAAACAGGAGUUCCAAAAUUGUGCCUGUAAAUGUGAAAAUAAGUAGCAAGCCAUUCAAGGCUGCAUGUUCA
rnacentral:misc_RNA from 1 species